CAAGAAUUACAGGAGUUUAACCUGUGACUUUGGUCUGACAGUCCAAUGAUUUACUAAACUAAAUUCUUUGA
rnacentral:tRNA from 1 species